rnacentral:lncRNA from 1 species
CCCCGAUAACCAUGAGGCAAAAGUAUCACAUUGCCCAGCAGUAUAUUGUCACAGCAGUGUGAUACAGCGGUAAAAGCUAUGUGCGUAUAUGUAGAAGCAGUAAAUGGAUAGACUAUGUGCAUACACGUAGAAGCAGAAAUGGAUAGACGAACUAUGAGGUAUACGAUACUGUCUGCAUGCACCGUAUAACUAACAGCCC